rnacentral:rRNA from 1 species
UACGAAGGGUGCGAGCGUUGCCCGGAUUUAUUGGGCGUAAAGGGCGCGUAGGCGGCCACGCACGUCCGUUGUGAAAUCGCCCGGCUCAACUGGGCGGGGUCGGCGGAUACGGCGUGGCUGGAGCAAGCUAGGGGGCAAUGGAAUUCCCGGUGUAGUGGUGGAAUGCGUAGAUAUCGGGAGGAACACCAGUGGCGAAGGCGGUUGCCUGGAGCUUUGCUGACGCUGAGGCGCGAAAGCGUGGGGAGCGAUCCGG